rnacentral:rRNA from 1 species
UACGUAGGUGACCAGCGUUGUCCGGAUUUACUGGGCGUAAAGAGCGCGCAGGCGGUCGUUCAAGUCGCGUGUGAAAGCCCCUGGCUCAACUGGGGAGGGUCACGCGAUACUGUUCGACUCGAAGGCAGGAGAGGGAAGUGGAAUUCCCGGUGUAGUGGUGAAAUGCGUAGAUAUCGGGAGGAACACCAGUGGCGAAGGCGACUUCCUGGCCUGUUCUUGACGCUGAGGCGCGAAAGCUAGGGUAGCAAACGGG